AGUGAACGCUGGCGGCGUGCCUAAUACAUGCAAGUCGAACGGAGUGGCGCACGGGUGAGUAAUGUAUAGCUAAUCUGCCCUACACUAGAGGACAACAGUUGGAAACGACUGCUAAUACUCUAUAGUGUAGGAUGAGGCUAUAUUGUAUCAGCUAGUUGGUGAGGUAAUGGCUCACCAAGGCUAUGACGGAUAACUGGGCUGAGCGAAUGAUCAGUCACACGCGAACUGAGACACGGUCCAGAUUCCUACGGCAGGCAGCAGGAGGGAAUAUUGCUCAAUGGGGGAAACACUGAAGAAGCAACGCCGCGUGGAGGAUGACACUUUGCGGAGCGUAAACUCCUUUUGUUAGGGAAGCGGUACCUAACGAAUAAGCACCGGCUAACUCCGUGCCAGCCGCCGCGGUAAUUC
rnacentral:rRNA from 1 species